ACACGACUACAUUAGAUACCCGGGUAGUCCCAGCCGUAAACUAUGCGCGUUAGGUGUAUCGGUGACCACGAGUUACCGAGGUGCCGAAGGGAAACCGUGAAACGUGCCGCCUGGGAAGUACGGUCGCAAGGCUGAAACUUAAAGGAAUUGGCGGGGAGCACCACAACAGGUGGAGCCUGCGGUUUAAUUGGACUCAACGCCGGGAAGCUCACCGGAUAGGACAGCAGAAUGAUUGCCGGGCUGAAGACCCUGCAUGACUAGCUG
rnacentral:rRNA from 1 species